rnacentral:lncRNA from 1 species
CUGUUAUCAUUCCUCGGCAUGACCCUCUCUGUCACGUCCCUCUGAUACUUAACCAGCGAAGCCUAGUCCGUGUCCUACAAACCAAGAAAAGCUGCCUGACUUUGCAGCCAUUUCUGGAUCUUCAACGUCAAUGUGCCCUGCAUUUGGUAAGAGCUGAAGACAAUGGGGAUAGGUUGUCUGUGUCCUCUCUAUGGAGACCUAGAUGCUUGCAGAGUGGGCAGUUGACCUCACGUGAACUCACAGGCACAAACAUCUAGAGCUCAGCCCAGCACUUUACCAACAGCCAGGAGGAACACCAGGAGUGUACCACAUUCCACGGCCAGCAGCAUGCAGACAUCCUCCAUAAUAGUAGAGCCCUCCCUCCUAUCACGCUGAAUUUGCUGCUUCUUGUGGCCUAUGCAUCUCUCAGCUUUUUCCUGCCUGUCUCCAUCCACAGUCACAAACUGUGGCCUGACUUUGUUCCUCUGACUAGAACUUCCUUCAACAGCCUUGAACUUGGGUGUAAAGACAGAGCCCAAAAUUCUGUGCAAAGGAUGAAUAAAAAUAAUAAAAAUUGAAAACAGCA